GUCACCCCAGGGACCUGGAUUGUAUAAGAAAGCAAGCUGAACAAGCAAGGAGAAGCAAGCUACUAAGCAGCCUUCCUCUGUCACCUCUGCUUCACCUUCCUGCCUGUAGGUUCCUGCCUGGAAUUCUUGCCACAAUGUCCCAUCAUAGAAGACUAGAAGCUACAAGAUGAAAGAAAUCCUUUUUCCUCCAACUUGCCUUUGAACUGGAUAUUGAACCCAGGGCCUCAUCAAUGCUCAGCAAGUACCUCAUCACUGGCCUGUAUCCCCAGCCACCAGCUUCUAUUUUUAUUUCAAGGUCUAUGGUUCACUUGGAUGUCCAGUACAGAAGAUAAAGCCAACGAGAAGCUAUGGAUGUUGAGAAUGGUGAAAGGGACUGCUCAUAUGAACACCCUUGGGAAGGACCUGG
rnacentral:lncRNA from 1 species